UGCGUAGGCGGUCUUUUAAGUCAGUGGUGAAAUCCUGCGGCUCAACCGUAGAACUGCCAUUGAAACUGAAAGACUUGAAUACACCAGAGGUAAGCGGAAUGUGUAGUGUAGCGGUGAAAUGCUUAGAUAUUACACAGAACACCAAUUGCGAAGGCAGCUUACCAUAGUGUCAUUGACGCUGAUGCACGGAAGCGUGGGGAGCGAACAGGAUUAGAUACCCUGGUAGUCC
rnacentral:rRNA from 1 species